CUCUCCGGCACGUGCCUCUGCACUCGGCUCUCAACUGUAACACUCAGACUCCGCCCGCGGCAGCCAGCCCUCUCAGGGGACCGGAAGGUUGUGCUGCUGUUAUGUAGGGAUCCAGCCCUGGACAAACUAACAUGCAAUCUACAUUACAAGGAGCCUAGAGCCUGAAUGGAACAGAGAAAAAGGUGUAUUCACUUGGACUAAAUGUGGCCACCAAUCAUUAAGAGUGCUGACUGUGGCCAUUCCCAAUCAGCUCCUCCUGCCUAGCGCUAAAAGACACUGGACACCUCUGGCUUCAAGGACUUCAAGCAACAGCAUGAACUUGUCACUUAAUUCGUGAGCUGCCAUGAGUCCCCAGCUAGCUGGCUAUGUGAAAAUGUCUUACCUUCCCAUUGAGCUGGAAGUCCCUUGAAGGCAGGAACUCCCUCAUAUUCCUCUGCAGCUCCCCUGGUGCUCCAUGUUGACUUUCCAUCAGCCAGAGCUCGGUGGGGAAAGCAGAACCACUCUGAGUAUCACAGGAUGUAUUAGGCAAUUGUGGGAGAACCUGGGCAAGUAGAGGUGCCUAGUUGGGAGCUGGAGGACUGGUGACUAACCAGUUCUCUUGAAGCCCUGGUGUGAAUGGAACAGUCAAAAUCUGCCAAGAAUAGCCAGGCACAUCCAGUUGCUGGAGUGGGGCUGUGAAAGCAAAGUUGGUAGAGAAGUCCAUGGAAAACGAUUGCCUUUGAAUCUGAUGGUGGGCCUGGAACCACUGGACCAACCAUCAGAAGAAUUACUAGAGCGAGCCCAAUGGUGGUUGCCAGAGGCUGGUGGCAGACAUCAGUCAAAAGGAUGUGGUGACAGGGAGCCCAAGAAAGAUGGAGGAGAUGGAUUCAAACCAGAGUGGAGGAAGCAGGCUCUAACCUGCAGAUUACCCUCUCCAGAGACCAACUGCUUCCCACAGAAGAGUUGGGAGCCCUGCCAGAGACCCCCUCCCAAGACCACAACUCUGAAGAGCAUUAAGUACAAGCUUCACCCCUUGGAUGUAAAGGGUUAACUGCAUGGCGAACAAAGGGUUAAGAAAAGAAUUCACAAUAAUAUCCUCACUCACACACAUUUUUCAUGAGCAAUGAUGUCCCUUCCUAGGUCUGAGUACUUUAUUGCCUUCCCUGAAUAAUUACUGUCUGGGAAAUUAAAUGUUUCAGCUCUU